AGUUGUAGUACGAAUCCGUCAGGCCGGAACCAUGGCAGUGACCAAGGAGCUCUUACAGAUGGACCUGUACGCGCUGCUAGGCAUUGAGGAGAAGGCAGCGGACAAAGAGGUAAAGAAGGCGUAUAGGCAGAAGGCCCUCUCCUGCCACCCAGACAAAAAUCCAGAUAAUCCCAGAGCAGCUGAACUCUUCCACCAGCUUUCUCAGGCCUUGGAGGUGCUGACCGAUGCUGCAGCCAGGGCUGCAUAUGACAAGGUUAGGAAAGCCAAGAAGCAGGCAGCAGAGAGGACCCAGAAACUUGAUGAGAAAAGGAAGAAAGUGAAGCUUGGUAGGUGCCAUCAUAGUGCUCGGUGGCCUGUGGUUUCCUGUGGCCAUUUUCAUUCAUCUCCCUCACCUGAAGCUUCACUUCCAGCAACUCAUCUCAAAGCCUUUUGGCUCAGGCUCUGGGCAAAACACUGUUCUUAGAGACCUGGAGGCCCGGGAGCGGCAGGCCCAGGCCCAGGAGAGUGAAGAGGAAGAGGAGAGCCGGAGCACCAGGACACUAGAGCAAGAGAUCGAACGCCUGAGAGAAGAGGGUUCCCGGCAGCUGGAGGAACAGCAGAGGCUGAUCCGGGAGCAGAUACGCCAGGAGCGUGACCAGAGGUUGAGAGGAAAGGCAGAAAGUACUGAAGGCCAAGGAACCCCCAAACUAAAGGUGAGCCUGGGCAGGAUCUGUGGGCCACCUCAUACUCACACAGCCUCCCCUCAACAGGAAUAGAUGCUUCCUGUGGCUCGAGGGUUUCUGGUGGGGCCGCUGGAUCUGCAUGGAGCCAGCAUCAUUACCAUCUCCCUCCAUGCUGCAGCCUCCUGGAGAUCAGAGCUUGCCACGAAAGGCUGCUUUUAGCCCUGAUCACAGGGCAGAGGAUUCCCUAGAAGCCCUCUCAGGAGAGGGUCUUCUGGAUGGGAAGCAUCCCUAGGGUGAGCAGGCCCUCCUGCUACAAGUUCCCAA
rnacentral:sRNA from 1 species